rnacentral:lncRNA from 1 species
CUGUGCCUCGAGGAUUAGUUUAAACAGGGGGCUAUAAAAGAUGUAACAGAUGCAAACUGUAACACAAGGGCCAUUAACCCUUUCUCUGCCGGGCACACUCAGUCCCCACGCCCCACACCUAUUGUCUCCUGUGCUAGAAGCUUUGCAGAAAACCUGGAAAGGGAAAUCCUGAAAUAAAGAAAUGGUCACACAAGUGUCUGGGAUGAAACAGCUGGCCUGUCUAUAUUCAUCCUGAGACACACGACUGCAUAUAAAUACAUGUUUAAUAAAGUUUAUAAUCACAGAAGUGAGGUGUUACUUCACACACAUACACACACAAAGAAUGAAAUAAAGAAAUGAAACUCGCUAAGCAGACAAAAACAGACAACUUUCUGCUUAGAAAACAGCCUUCUCGGUGGGAGAGGAUGAACUGCCAUGUCUAAGAGAAAGACUUGCCCCCGAAUUUGUAGGUCUGUAACUGACCAAGUUUUGUAAUUAUUAACAGGUCAAUAAAACUUUUCCUGGGCUGGAUAGCAAAGGACACCUUUGGUUACCUGAAUGAACAGGAUGAGAAAAUUAGAAAAGGAGGAUGGAGGACGAGCACACCAAAAAGGGAUAAAAAGAGAGAAAAGGGGAGGAAAAAAAACCUACCUGCGAAGUCUUGUUUGUAGUUUUGGCCAGAAAUGGUGAGAAGAAAAAGCAUGAAGAAGCCGCGAAGUGUGGGGGAGAAAAAGGUGGAAGCGAAGAAACAGCUCCCGGAGCAAACUGUACAAAAACCUCGCCAAGAGUGUCGGGAGGCAGGACCGUUAUUCCUGCAGAGCAGGAGAGAGACGAGAGACCCUGAAACACGCGCCACCUAUCUUUGUGGGGAGGGAUAAUUGAAGCGCCCUGAGCGUGAGCAUCAUGUGAAAACGUGAUCGCCAAGUUUCUCUCUGGGAAAGGAUCUGGGAUAGAUUAUACCUUGAAGUCUCCGCAAACGCUUUAGUGGAAGAAAUGAAAUUCCACCUCCCUCCCUUCCUCCUCUCCCUCCCUUUCGCCUUCGCCUCCCUCCCCCCUCCCUCCCUUCUCCCCCCCUCCACCCCCCCCUCCCCGCCCGUCAAGCCUUUGGCAUCAUUAUCCUCAUCACUAAAUCCUACAGAGUACAGGGCGGAAAACGGUGCACACCAUUCACAGAACUGGAGAACUCCAAGGGGCGAAAGUUAAAGGGAAAGAUCCCGGGUCCUCAAUCCAGAUAGUCUCUUCUUAUACAGAUAUCUCUAAUGACCAGAUUUGAGAUGCACAUCAAAUUGUGUAGGUAUCUCAGUACAGCUUCUGGAACAAAGUUCUCUGCCCUUUCUCUUAUUGUUAUUUUUUUCUUUUUAGGUACCAGAGCCAGAAAAAAAAAUGCUGCAUGGGAGCUGCAUCUUAGGGCAUGUGUAUUAGGGUGUGUGCAUGAUGAAUUUCUGGACUGGAUCCCAAUAUUAAAAAGUAGUUUGGCAUUUUAAUAAAGGGUCUCUAAGUAAAUUAAAAUAGAACACUCGGUUGGCCGAUCUCUGAAUCUCUCUACACCUCGGGGAGACCUCACUACAAAGUAAGGGAGAGUGUGUAGGGAGGCAGGAGGAGAAACGAGAAAGGCCAUAGAGAAACUUAGCAGGGAAGGGAGAGCAUGAUAUUAAACGGCAUGGGGUCUAAGUUUUGGAGUAUAUAUUUUUUGAUAUUACAAUUAAAGUAAGAUUAAAAAGAAAAG